CAGUCGCCGCGGGAAUACAGAGGGUGCGAGCGUUAAUCGGAUUUACUGGGCGUAAAGCGUGCGUAGGCGGCUUCUUAAGUCGGAUGUGAAAUCCCUGAGCUUAACUUAGGAAUUGCAUUCGAUACUGGGAAGCUAGAGUAUGGGAGAGGAUGGUAGAAUUCCAGGUGUAGCGGUGAAAUGCGUAGAGAUCUGGAGGAAUACCGAUGGCGAAGGCAGCCAUCUGGCCUAAUACUGACGCUGAGGUACGAAAGCAUGGGGAGCAAACAGGAUUAGAGACCCCCGUAGUCCCUGUCUCUUAUAC
rnacentral:rRNA from 1 species